rnacentral:rRNA from 1 species
CCUACGGGGGGCUGCAGUAGGGAAUAUUGCACAAUGGAGGAAACUCUGAUGCAGCGACGCCGCGUGAGUGAUGAAGGCCUUCGGGUCGUAAAGCUCUGUCGCAGGGGAAUAACACAAUGAAGGUACCCUGUAAGAAAGGAUCGGCUAACUUCGUGCCAGCAGCCGCGGUAAGACGAGGGAUCCUAGCGUUGUUCGGAAUCAUUGGGCGUAAAGCGGGUGUAGGUGGCUUUGUAAGUCGAGUGUGAAAGCCUGGGGCUCAACCCCAGAAGUGCAUU